GAAUAGGAACAGCUCCGGUCUACAGCUCCCAGCGCCAGCGACGCAGAAGACGGGUGAUUUCUGCAUUUCCAUCUGAGUCUUGCUCUGUUGCCCAGGCUGGAUGGAGUGCAGUGGCACAAUCUCGACUCCACCUCCCAGGCUCAAGCAAUUUUCAUGCCUCAGCCUCCUAAGUAGCUGGGAUUACAGAAAAUAACAUUUCUGGUAAAAGCAAGAAUGACAUUUUAAUGGAACAAUCUGAUCCACAACAGCACUAUAAUGUGGCAAGACCGUACCAGAGUGAGAAACAGAACAAGACAUCUGUCCGACUCAGCACCCUAGCACCCAUCAAAGUACCAAUAUAUAC